AGCGUAGACGGAUGGACAAGUCUGAUGUGAAAGGCUGGGGCUCAACCCCGGGACUGCAUUGGAAACUGCCCGUCUUGAGUGCCGGAGAGGUAAGCGGAAUUCCUAGUGUAGCGGCGAAAUGCGUAGAUAUUAGGAGGAACACCAGUGGCGAAGGCGGCUUACUGGACGGUAACUGACGUUGAGGCUCGAAAGCGUGGGGAGCAAACA
rnacentral:rRNA from 1 species